rnacentral:misc_RNA from 1 species
GAUGAAGAACGUAGCGAAAUGCGAUAAGUAAUGUGAAUUGCAGAAUUCAGUGAAUCAUCGAGUCUCUGAACGCACAUUGCGCCCCCUGGUAUUCCGGGGGGCAUGCCUGUCCGAGCGUCAUUGCUGCCCUCAAGCACGGCUUGUGUGUUGGGCCCCCGCCCCCCGGCUUCGGGGGGCGGGCCCGAAAGGCAGCGGCGGCACCGCGUCCGGUCCUCGAGCGUAUGGGGCUUCGUCACCCGCUCUGUAGGCCCGGCCGGCGCCCGCCGGCGACCCCAAUCAAUCUUUCCAGGUUGACCUCGGAUCAGGUAGGGAUACCCGCUGAACUUAAGCAUAUCAAUAAGCGGAGGA